CGAGGAGUUCCAGUGAUCAAGUGGAAGAAAGAUGGCAUUCAUCUGGCCUUGGGAAUGGAUGAAAGGAAGCAGCAACUUUCAAAUGGGUCUCUGCUGAUACAAAACAUACUUCAUUCCAGACACCACAAGCCAGAUGAGGGACUUUACCAAUGUGAGGCAUCUUUAGGAGAUUCUGGCUCAAUUAUUAGUCGGACAGCAAAAGUUGCAGUAGCAGAGGGAAAUGUGAGGCUGAGAAAGUUUGGACAACAUAGCCAUGGCAGUUUAUAACUCAAAGUAUAUGGAUGGAUGACACUCGCUAGAGAGUUGCAACAGCCGAUGCAGCUGUCCCCAGGCCCCAAACUCACUUAUAUUUCCUGAAACACCAGGAAAAGCAUCUUUUAUUUUUAUAUGAGAGCCCUAAGAGAUUAUUUUCAUCUUAUUCAAAAAUGAAAAGAUUUUAUUUAAUUAAAAAAUCUAUUUCUAUUAUCUUA
rnacentral:lncRNA from 1 species